GAAAGUUUUGGGGUUGUGAGUGUAUAUUUUUGUUGUUUAAUUGAGAAAUCUUUUUGGAUAUUAGGUGAAGAUUUUGGGAAUAAUGGUCCUCUGGCGAGUUAGUAUCCGUGAAGGCUACUAUUUUUGUUUCAGGUAAGUAAUCGUUGUUACGCGUGGGUUAAUUGUUGAAUUUAGGUUAAUGAUGGAAGUUAUGGUGGAGAAAGGUUUAGUUUUGUUUAGAUUAUUAUUGAUUUGAGCGUUUA
rnacentral:lncRNA from 1 species